UUAUAUAUGGUUUAAAUUUAAAAAUUUAGUUUCUGUCCCAUUCCAGCCCUUCCAAGCUACACCUGUGGGAAUCCAGGUCAACUGGUGAAUGGCAUCCAGCAGGGCUCUACUUUUAACAUCGGGGACAAGAUCCGCUACAGCUGCAACCAGGGUUAUGUGCUGGAGGGCCACACCGUGCUUUCCUGCCUGGCUACUUCCUCCGGCACUGCUGCCUGGGACUUCCCCCUGCCAUACUGCCGAGCGGACGAUGGUUGUGGCGGCACGCUACGGGGUCAAAGUGGUGUCAUCACCAGUCCAAAUUACCCCCGGGAGUACAACAACAAUGCAGACUGCACCUGGACCGUGCUGGCCGAACCAGGUGACACCAUCGCUUUGGUCUUUUCCGACUUUCAAUUGGAAGAAGACUACGACGUUCUGGAGAUAACCGGCACAGAAGGAUCCUCUCAGUGGUGAGUGCCCUACCGGUUUGGUUUUUCAGGCAUUACUAGGGAAACUGAAGUGUAGCGCUCAUCACACAAGGUGCUAAGCAGAGAGCGCAUGUUGUGGAGCUGUUGGCAGUGAGUAGGUAUUUUACAAGAGAUAGGAAGCCAGGAGAACCACAGUCAUGAAACAUCUCAGCUCUUGUUAAAUGGAACAGAACCAAAUCACAGCUUGAUUCAAUUAUUCAGCACAUAAUGCG
rnacentral:lncRNA from 1 species